rnacentral:rRNA from 1 species
UACGGAGGAUGCGAGCGUUAUCCGGAUUUAUUGGGUUUAAAGGGUGCGUAGGCGGACUGUCAAGUCAGCGGUAAAAUUGAGAGGCUCAACCUCUUCCCGCCGUUGGAACUGGUGGUCUUGAGUGGAUGAGAAGUACGCGGAAUGCGUGGUGCAGCGGUGAAAUGCAUAGAUAUCACGCAGAACUCCGAUUGCGAAGGCAGCGUACCGGCAUCCAACUGACGCUGAGGCACGAAAGCGUGGGGAUCAAACAGG